CUAGCAUUUGGACAGGGCCUCCCCUGGGCAGUGGCCAAGGACGGGGUAGCUGGUGCUGAGAGAGCCCUUACUGCACCAUGCCCUGGUACUGUCCCAGCAGCAGCAGAUGUGAGUCAGUGGGACAGAG
rnacentral:snoRNA from 1 species